rnacentral:rRNA from 1 species
GAUGAACGCUGGCGGCGUGCCUAAUACAUGCAAGUCGAGCGAAUGGAUUAAGAGCUUGCUCUUAUGAAGUUAGCGGCGGACGGGUGAGUAACACGUGGGUAACCUGCCCAUAAGACUGGGAUAACUCCGGGAAACCGGGGCUAAUACCGGAUAACAUUUUGAACCGCAUGGUUCGAAAUUGAAAGGCGGCUUCGGCUGUCACUUAUGGAUGGACCCGCGUCGCAUUAGCUAGUUGGUGAGGUAACGGCUCACCAAGGCAACGAUGCGUAGCCGACCGGGGAGGGUGAUCGGCCACACUGGGACUGGAACACGGCCCAGACUCCUACGGGAGGCAGCAGUAGGGAAUCUUCCGCAAUGGACGAAAGUCUGACGGAGCAACGCCGCGUGAGUGAUGAAGGCUUCCGGGUCGUAAAACUCUGUUGUUAGGGAAGAACAAGUGCUAGUUGAAUAAGCUGGCACCUUGACGGUACCUAACCAGAAAGCCACGGCUAACUACGUGCCAGCCGCCGCCGUAA